AAAUAACCUCCAGAUUUUUAUUUUAUAGAUGGAAUUACAAGAUAUUUGAAGAACAAACAAAAAACUAAACUCAAAGCAUCUCUCAAACAAUCAUGCUCUGUUCUAAUAUACACUGUAAAAUAAACAUGCAUUUUGUGUGUCUCAAGGUUUUCCCCUUUAGUGACUGAUUUGAAAACAAAGCUAUCACCUUUUUUCUUCUGCAAGGUUAUUUUUCUUAUUUACUGCAAGUUCCUAUAAUGCAUUGCGGGGUCUUGCUUAAAAGUCUUAUUUCGGAAUAUUGUAUGUUCAGCUUCAUAAUAAUUUUAUUUAUGAAGUACCCACAUAUGCCAGGAUCACAAUGCAGAGUCAGUAUGCAAUUGAUAAUAUUUUCUGGACUUCGGUCUGAACUGCAUGCGUGAAGCAUUAUCACAAUGCAAGUGUCACAACCUGUAUUUGCUGGUAAUCUUGCUAAAGUUUGAAAUUGUUAUUGACUUAAAACUAGAUCUAAAUAAAGGAAUAGUCCUAGGAUUACGCAGAGAAGCAAGCGUCAUUUCAGGGCAAUUUCCAAAUUUAUUUCCAGUAUAUCUAAAGUCGAGUCCCACCACAAGCUGUCAUGUUUUUGUAGAUGGUGUGUGGGAAGCUUUCUUUUCUCGUACUCCUACUUCAAGAUUUGGCUAGCCCUCACACUAUGGUGGAAAUGAGCAGCAGCUUUCCUGCAAUUCUCAAGUAUGGUUUGCAUCUUUUGUUUUGGCUUACAUAAUUGCAACCUUGACAACUGCCAGCAAACCUCAAUGACUGAAGCAAUAUUGUAAAGAGGAGGGGGCCAAAAUCCCUCCACAAUUAUGUGAGAGACUGAUAAAGUCACAAAGAAAACAAUUACUUCAAGUUAAUUCUCCUAAAGGUGGAUUUACAAAGCUAUUGAAUCAUAUUGUGUACUUAGUUUUUCACACAUGUCUUCUACAUACUGGCUUUAUUUUUGUUUUAAAAAUCAUGACACGGUGUAAUAUAUCAUGUUUUGUUGGUCAUCCGAGGUUGUAUUUACCUAAUUUCAAGACCUGCUAAGUAACAUUUGAUUGUUGUUAUAUCCUGAUAUGUAAAACCAUAGAAAGCAAAGAGGGUCUACUUUCUUUUUUCCAUGACUGUAUAUAUGUAUGUAUGUAUU